rnacentral:tRNA from 1 species
GGAGAGAUGGCUGAGCGGACGAAAGCGCUGGUCUCGAAAACCAGUAUAGGGGCAACUCUAUCGUGGGUUCGAAUCCCACUCUCUCCGCCA